UAGACCGGGCACCGCACGAUCACUAGACUCCCUCGAUUGUUACACACGGCAUCACCGCUCGGCGAGUUCGGCGCACGUUCAUUGCGUCCCGUAGAAAUUCGAACGAGCUUCGUCCGCCAUGCUCGAGGAAACACACUUGCCAUCUACCGCGGAAUGAGUCAGUUUGGAACGUGGUCUUCGACUCAAAGUAUCCGGAGAUGGGCAACAUUUGGGCAUAUGGGCAUCCUAUUGCAGUGCAGACAUAACAUAAACAAUCGAUAUUUCUGUCCUUCGAUCAUCUAAAAAGAAGAAGAUGUUUAUGGAAUAUACAACGAUAUUAUAUUUCUCACAUGGCGAUAGAUGUGCAGUUUAUAAAGUUGCAACGUUGUACGUAAGUGAAAUUUUAACCGUUUAUUUGAUCACUCAAAUUUUUGACAUUUUUCAUUCCAUUUUUAUUUCAUUCGUGUAAAACGAAAGACAUUAUAUUUUCUUUUAUUAAUAUUAACAAAUAAAGACAUCUAUUUUUCAAUAAUAAUUUAGAGAAAACAUCAGAUAAAUAAUUGGUUACAU